rnacentral:rRNA from 1 species
GUCCACGCUGUAAACGUUGGGCACUAGGUGUGGGGCCUUCCAACGGGUUCCGUGCCGUAGCUAACGCAUUAAGUGCCCCGCCUGGGGAGUACGGCCGCAAGGCUAAAACUCAAAGGAAUUGACGGGGGCCCGCACAAGCGGCGGAGCAUGUGGCUUAAUUCGAAGCAACGCGAAGAACCUUACCUGGGCUUGACAUGUGCCGAAAAGCCGUAGAGAUGCGGUGUCCUUCGGGGCGGCACACAGGUGGUGCAUGGCUGUCGU